UUUAAUAUGGCAGAAAAAGUGCAUUGAAUUUAAGUUUCAAAAAUAAAGUUUUAAUACUUUUAUUAAAA
rnacentral:tRNA from 1 species